rnacentral:tRNA from 1 species
GGUAUCCUGGCCGGCGCGGUCUAAAGGCGCCAGGUUAAGGCUAAUAUCUUAACCGAAUUUCCCUGGUCUCUUUCGGAGGCGUGAGUUUCGAAUCUCAACGGAAUAUCA